rnacentral:rRNA from 1 species
CCUACGGGAGGCUGCAGUGAGGAAUAUUGGUCAAUGGGCGUAAGCCUGAACCAGCCAAGUCGCGUGAGGGAUGAAGGUUCUAUGGAUCGUAAACCUCUUUUAUAAGGGAAUAAAGUGCGGGACGUGUCCCGUUUUGUAUGUACCUUAUGAAUAAGGAUCGGCUAACUCCGUGACAGCAGCCGCGGUAAUACGGAGGAUCCGAUCGUUAUCCGGAUUUCUUUGGUUUAAAGGGUGCGUAGGCGGCCUUUUAAGGCAGCGGUGAAAGUCUGUGGCUCAACCAUAGAAUUGCCGUUGAAACUGGGAGGCUUGAGUAUGUUUGAGGCAGGCGGAAUGCGUGGUGUAGCGGGGAAAUGCGUAGAUAGCACGCAGAACCCCGAUUGCGAAGGCAGCCUGCCAAGCCAUGACUGACGCUGAUGCACGAAAGCGUGGGGAUCAAACAGGAUUAGAUACCCGGGUAGUC